rnacentral:rRNA from 1 species
UACGUAGGGUGCGAGCGUUGUCCGGAAUUAUUGGGCGUAAAGAGCUUGUAGGCGGUCUGUCGCGUCUGCUGUGAAAAUCCGGGGCUCAACCCCGGACUUGCAGUGGGUACGGGCAGACUAGAGUGUGGUAGGGGAGACUGGAAUUCCUGGUGUAGCGGUGAAAUGCGCAGAUAUCAGGAGGAACACCGAUGGCGAAGGCAGGUCUCUGGGCCGCUACUGACGCUGAGAAGCGAAAGCGUGGGGAGCAAACAGG